UCCCCCCAGCUCUCUCCCGCGUCCCCCCAGCUCUCUCCCGAGUCCCCCUGCUCUCUCUCUCCUGCUACAGUAUCAGUGUUUAGUUGUUGUUCCCUGACACACACACGCACACAGACACGCACACUCUCACUCCCACACACACUGUUAUCAUUAUCAGCCUUGCCAGUCCAUCAGAAUAAAAAAAUUGCACAAAAGAAGUGAAGAGAAUCAUCCUUUUUAGGGGAAUUGAGAGCUGGGAAACAUACGGUCUCUCCACCCCGUAAAACCAAUUUCAGGCUCAGACUCAUUAGCAAAGGGACACAGUGAAAAGAUAAUCAUCUCUUUGAAAAAUAUUCUGAAGGACUUUAAUGAAAGAUUCAUUAUUCUCUCUCUCUGUUCUCUCCAUUCUGCCCAGGGAGCACAGGCACGCAGUUAGCCUCCCUCCCUCCCUCCCUCCCUUGCUCUCUGUCCUGGCUACGUGCCCCCCUCUUCCAUGUCUCCCUUCCUUCCAUCCAUCGGUCCUACACCCAAGUAUUACUUCCGUAUCUAUAGCAACCGGCUCUCACCACAGUCAAAACUCCUGCUGCUAUCUAUUACUGUACUCUGGAAAGCAUCAUUAAACUACUACAACUUCUCUAUCUCUCUCUCUCUCUGAAUCUCUCUCCGUCUCUCUGUCUCUCUGAAUCUCUCUCUGUCUCUCUCUCUCUAAAGAGGUUAAAUGAUGACACAUUACUGUUUAUUUUUUACCUUCUGAUUAAUGACAGGGCUUCUGUCUGAAGUAACGGGGCUUCUGUCUGAAGUAACGGGGCUUCUGUCUGAAGUAACGGGGCUUCUGUCUGAAGUAACAGGGCUUCUGUCUGAAGUAACAGGGCUUCUGUCUGUAGUAACGGGGCUUCUGUCUGAAGUAACAGGGCUUCUGUCUGAAGUAAUGGGGCUUCUGUCUGAAGUAACAGGGCCUCUGUCUGAAGUAACGGGGCCUCUCUCUGAAGUAACAGGGCUUCUGUCUGAAGUAACAGGGCUUAUGUCUGAAGUAACAGGGCCUCUGUCUGAAGUAACGGGGCUUAUGUCUGAAGUAACAGGUCUUCAGUCUGUAGUAACAGGUCUUCAGUCUGUAGUAACAGGUCUUCAGUCUUUAGUAACAGGGCUUCAGUCUGUAGUAACAGGGCCUCUGUCUGAAGUAACGGGGCUUAUGUCUGAAGUAACAGGUCUUCAGUCUGAAGUAAC
rnacentral:lncRNA from 13 species